UACAGAGGGUGCGAGCGUUAAUCGGAAUUACUGGGCGUAAAGCGUGCGUAGACGGUUAUUUAAGUCGGGUGUGAAAGCCCCGGGCUCAACCUGGGAAUUGCAUUCGAGACUGAAUAGCUAGGGUACGGUAGAGGGAAGCGGAAUUUCCGGUGUAGCGGUGAAAUGCGUAGAUAUCAGGAAGAACACCAACGGCGAAGGCAGCUCGCUGGGACGGUACUGACGCUGAGACGCGAAAGCGUGGGGAGCGAACAGG
rnacentral:rRNA from 1 species